ensembl:lncRNA
UCCCCGUAUCUUUUAAAAAGUUGUAACAAGGGUUGGGAUUUUUAAGUCUCCUUGCAGGUCUUUAGAUUUCUAUGCUAUUAAAUAACUUUUCCCAUAUAGUCAUCUCAGUUCCUCAAUAACAUAACCCCCACAAAAUUUUGCUGGAAAAAAAUGCACUUUUCAGGGGAUUUAUGUGGCUCAAGGUCCAAGAGAUUAUUUGUUAAAAGAUUUUUGGUUCCCAAAUGAUGUCUUCAGAUUAACCAAGAAUCCUUUGUUUCUCAAUCAUCCAACCUCUCCUUGGCUGGCUCAGCUACUCACCCAAGCACAUCAGAACACAGGCAUCCUGCCUGCCACCUCAAGUAACUCCAACAUUAUUGCCCAGACACACUUUGCAGGUCCCAUCAGGUGAUUCUGUUAGCUUCCCAGGAGUGGGAUUCCUGCACUGACACUUUUAUCAAGACUCAACUCCUAGAGGAAAAUGCUCCCACAACAGGAUAGUUUUACUCACCCAUUUGCUUCACUCUUGCCAGUAGCAAGUCUGCAACUCCUACAUUUGGCAAAGGGAUUUUAUUAUAGAGAAACCCAGACUCUGCAUCAAGUGGUCACAUGCCACUUUGAAAUAGUUCUACUGAAGAUAAAAAACUAGGAAAUUACCAGACUAUCUCAUUAGACGGAAAGACUUUUCAGUAAUCCUGGGUAGCAUCCUGGUGUCCCUUUUCAGGACUAAAAAUUACUGGAUAGUUUAAGCUGUCAUUAUUAAAAACAGAAGUGCUACAUCACCUGUCUCUCACCCCUGACUCUCCAAAUGAUCAACUUAAAGACAUACCAGAAGGUUGAUACCAAAGCUAGGCUGGGACAAUCACUGCAUCUACAGAAUACCUAACACCUUAAAUGUUUGGGCACAAGUGCAUCUGGAAUUCUUGUCAAAGAUCAUGCAAGAUCUGUGAAACUUGAGCGUAUUUCAAGUUGAGGUUCUGCUCUUACUGCUUUGAAUUUGUAAGGACAAGACAGUGACUCCCUUGGCCUGAGCAGAAACUAAACAAAGUCUUUCCACCAGUUUACUAUACAAUUUAGACCUGAUUAGAGGAGGCUUUAGCAGCACCUGAAGUAGAGCCCCCUGCAUUUACUGCCCUUUACAUUAAAGGCCAUUUGGUUCCACUCUAGGGACUGGCAAAUUCAUGAGACAUUUCACAAUUCCAAUGCAUACGUCAGGUUACUGAGCUAAGCAAUAUGCUCUGUAAAAGACCUAUUCCAAGUGAUAGCAAAAAAAAAAAAAAAAAGCCUUAAUAUGGAACACAGAAAAAGCGUUACCCAAAUAAAAAAUUACUAAAAGAAAUAAGAUUCUUCCCUCCUACCCCUUUCCCCACUUGGUGACCAAAGUUUGGUUGAAUUUAAUUUGUGGUUACCUCAGAAUACAACUCAAAGUUUUAAAUUAUAAAUCAG